AUUGAACGCUGGCGGCAGGCCUAACACAUGCAAGUCGAACGGCAGCACAGAAGAGCUUGCUCUUUGGGUGGCGAGUGGCGGACGGGUGAGUAAUGUCUGGGAAACUGCCCGAUGGAGGGGGAUAACUACUGGAAACGGUAGCUAAUACCGCAUAACGUCGCAAGACCAAAGUGGGGGACCUUCGGGCCUCACACCAUCGGAUGUGCCCAGAUGGGAUUAGCUAGUAGGUGGGGUAAUGGCUCACCUAGGCGACGAUCCCUAGCUGGUCCGAGAGGAUGACCAGCCACACUGGAACUGAGACACGGUCCAGACUCCGACGGGAGGCAGCAGUGGGGAAUAUUGCACAAUGGGCGCAAGCCUGAUGCAGCCAUGCCGCGUGUAUGAAGAAGGCCUUCGGGUUGUAAAGUACUUUCAGCGGGGAGGAAGGCGGUGAGGUUAAUAACCUUGCCGAUUGACGUUACCCGCAGAAGAAGCACCGGCUAACUCCGUGCCAGCCGCCGCAGUAACAC
rnacentral:rRNA from 1 species